CCCAGGUCUGUGAAAAACAUAUGAACAGCUGCAAGGAUGUUGCUUGCCCAGAGUUGGAAAGACGGUGAGAUACCUACGAGAGCAGACUGGCAGAUGAAACUAUUGGACUAUGCAGAGAUGGCAAGAUUAACUGGGAAAAUCAGAAAUCAGGCAUAUCAAAAUUUCAAUAGAGAAUGGGACAAAUAUAGAUUGUAUUUGCAAGACCACUGUAAACACUUCAACUUUUUAGGCUUUGG